rnacentral:rRNA from 1 species
UACGUAGGGCGCAAGCGUUGUCCGGAAUUAUUGGGCGUAAAGAGCUCGUAGGCGGUUUGUCGCGUCUGCUGUGAAAGCCCGGGGCUCAACCCCGGGUCUGCAGUGGGUACGGGCAGACUAGAGUGCAGUAGGGGAGACUGGAAUUCCUGGUGUAGCGGUGAAAUGCGCAGAUAUCAGGAGGAACACCGAUGGCGAAGGCAGGUCUCUGGGCUGUUACUGAGUGAGAGCGAAAGCAUGGGGAGCGAACAGGAUUAGAUACCGGUA